UUAAAUAUAUCAGUAAACAAAUAAACACAUGAAUCAAAAACUAGAGGCAGAGAGAAAGCAGUGUUUGGUAUCCUGGCUACAAUCCAUGUUUAUUAUUUAACUUUAAAAUGACAAAUCAAUGGCAAAAUGGAAUUAAGUAGCUGUGUAAGCACAGAAGUAAUUUUAUCGGUGUAUGAGCUGCUCAUGUUUUACAUUACACGAAGCACAGUGUGUUUACUGAACAGCGGCAGCGACAUCGGUGAGAGCUGGAAGCAAAGCCAAGGCUGCAGGGAUGGCAUCUGAGAAGUGAGGCCCUGGGGACAGGCUGCUGAUGGGCAGACAUACAUCUCCUCUCCCUUCGCUGCAUGGCUCACCAGCUGCGUGCCAAAACUUCCAAGGGAAAUACUCAGAAGAUGAAAACUCCUCAGCAGCAAAGCACCAAUUUCGCGUCAGGCAGUGUGUCAGCAAGAUGAGAGAAAACAGCCCUUUAACCUCUUUAAAACACCAAUGCCUGCUAGGCGUUCAGCUCAGCACUUCAGGCACGGCUUGUGUUUGUGGACACCAAGGUCAUGUUUUUAAAGACAGGCAUUCAAAUGGCACACAAAAAAUAUGCAGGCAGGGGUGCGAAGGGGGUAAUUGCGCGUACGAAACAUGCAGUUGCAAACACCCACCGGGUAAUUGUGUGCUCACAAGCAUUCAGCUGCACCUGCAGUUUCCUGGUUUCCCUUUUAGAACGACGUCUCUGUGCCCAGGCAUGCCUGCUUGGCGUGUUUCAUUUCUGCACUUGAAACCGUGGCCCAAAGCACCGCGUUGCUGUUUAGCACAGGUUUGAGCCGCUGAUUUCAAAGCUGCUCUAAUUAGUAACUUGCAGUUAGUGUACUCUACCAAUUCUCAGCCCACUGGGAUAUCACCAGGCUUUAUUGUUUCUUUCUGUCUUUGUGGAACUUCUGUAAAUCUUUUCUUUGAUAGCAGCUACGGUUUCAAAGCUGCCCACGUUUGAGCCAGAGGAGGCUAAUAAUGGUCUAAUUAAUGAAAGAUGUUUUCCUCUGCAUUGCUGUAUUUUAUCUCUUCCCCAAAGACUUGUCGGUGCAACCAAACCCCAGGCACCAGCCAGAUCCUUUCUUUUCCUCACAUAUUUGAGAAAUACACCGAUAUAUGGUGUGUAUCCCAUGCUGUUCUCACUUGAGUGUGUAAAUCUUGAAAAAUCUUCCCAAGUGUAGCUCGGAUUUAGGAAGCAGCUUUGUUAUUCCCAGCAGGUUUUCCUUCCAGCUAAGAUUUGUUUCUCUAGCUCAAACCACAAAGCCACUUUAACUCUCCCUAAAAGACUUCAGUCUGUGUAAGCUGCAGUGUAGGACAUACUUAUUAUCCCCCAGUGGGUAUUCAUUGCCCCUCUCCUCCUGCUUUUUCAAUUUCACUUUCUUUUUAUUAAUUGAUGAGCUCCCUUAAUUAUUUAUAGAAGUCUUAAAAUGCAUCAAGGUUGGAUUGCACAGUCUCUUCACUGUCACAUUGCACUGUUUUGCCACAGGAAGGACACAGAUUCCUACCCAAAGGCACAAGGAGUGUUAGCAGCUUUAAUUGGGUGUGCAGUAACACAUCAUUAUGCACUGAGUGCAAAGCAGCGAAGUUCCUGCUGGACACUUGAGAUCAUUGGGUCUUUCUUUACAGUACUGUGGGGCUGUGGUUGUGCCGUUGCUUUGGGUCUGGUGAGGGGUCUGGAUGGCAGAUCUGCCCAUACAGGCAGUCUCGUGCUGAAUGAACUGGCUGCACGAGAGGCAUUCUAGCAACAUAGUUUUCUUCCUCUGUUUCCUCCUACCCAAUCUCUUUCUAGGUUUCUUGUUUCUUCAUCACAGGGUCUACAGUGGGGCUGUUUUUUUAACUCCUUUGGUGGACCUGUUCUGCACAUCCCUUGGAACCAUCCCUUUGGUCCAGCUUUACUAUCACCAAACCUUUUCCUUUCCAGUCCUGGCUCAGAGCUACCAAAGUAGUUCCCACAGAUACCUGAGGUGAUGAGUCUGAUCCCAGAUGGACACUGAGGGGCUGGAUAGUGUGGGAGGAAACACAGGGAGCAUGAAGGAAGCAGGACAGAAGAGAGCACUUCAGCAGCAGAGCUUCAAGCUGGUAGGCAGGUUGUUCCACUUCAUGGUGCUUUAUGACCUUGAGACGCUGUCACGAUAAAUCAUGACAAGUAAUUAAAAGUAUAGUUUAGAUCAUAACUAGCAUGUCAGAGCAGUGGAUGUACACUGGUGAUGCCUUUCCUUCCCUGUCCUCCAUGAUGCUGGGCUCCACUGGAGUAAAACCUCCUACUGAAGGCGAAAACCCAAACAAUUAAUGGUUUGCUGCCAGCCACUUAAAUAGAAAGUUGAUGUAGCCCAGCUAGCUACCUGCAGGUGCCCCAGAGCCCCCUGCUGUACAUUGAAUGGCAUCCUCUGCUGCAGGCAAAACCACAAGCCCCCCCCCCCCCCCAGCAUAAAUAUUUCCUUGCUGGUUGAAAUAGAAGGCAGAUGUGUCUCAUCUACUUGUGACACAGAACACUGAGAUUAGCAGCAAGGCGAGAAAAGUGAUGGCCAAGUAUGGGGCACUUUAGGAGAAAAUAAAGGCAAUGAUAGAACUGAGAAGUGGCCAGCUCAGGGACAUCAAUUGCUUGUUUGUUAGGUUUCUGUGGUGGUGACAGGUGAGGAUUGCUGGUUUUCAGAUAGCAUCUGUCCUCAUCCUCUGGCCCAGCACAGGGCGGGAUACAACUGCUGUGUCAGAACGGGGAGUCCCAGCUACCCUGCUGGUGGUCUUAGCAGUGUUAUGGCCAUGAGAACAGUGUGAAAGUCAGGCGGGAGGCCUGGGGGAGGUGUUUUAAGUCAGGAGGGUGUAAAGAAGAGGCGAAAGUAAG
ensembl:lncRNA